GUGGAUUAGAUACCCUGGUAGUCCACGCCGUAAACGAUGAGUGCUAGAUGCUGUGGGUAUUGACCCCCGCGGUGUCGCAGCCAACGCGUUAAGCACUCCGCCUGGGGAGUACGGCCGCAAGGCUAAAACUCAAAGGAAUUGACGGGGGCCCGCACAAGCGGUGGAGCAUGUGGUUCAAUUCGACGCAACGCGCAGAACCUUACCUGGGUUAAAUCCACUCGAACCUUGCAGAGAUGUAGGGGUGCUCUUCGGAGAACGAGUGAGAAGGUGCUGCACGGCUGUCGCUAACU
rnacentral:rRNA from 1 species